CACACACACACACACACGCACAAACACACACACAGACGCGCGCGCACGCACACAAAGUUGAGCAAAGUGUGAAUCAGCUCCAAUAGCUGCCAGCCUCCGAGUCCUCCGCCUCGUUCCAGCGCUCUCACUGGGUUACUCUCUAUCUCUUCCUCUAUCUCUCCCCCCCUCUAUCUCUCUCUGUCUGCUCCACAUUCACACAGACAACACACACAGACAGACGGACACACACACACACGGCAACACAUCACCACUUAGAUACACCACGCUCACACAAUCACACCGGCAUCACUCCAGUCAGGAAGAGGAAGGCACCACCGGCACAGAGAGAGAGCGAGAGAGCGAAGGGGAACGAGACAAAAAGGGACAGAGGAAAAAAAGGGAGAGAGAGAGAAAGAGAGAAAAGAAAGAAAGUCACUCGUCCCUCUUUUGCCAGCCACACUCACCCAGCCGUCGCCAGACACUGUGCCCAGGAUGUGGCUCCUACUCUUGGGGAUGACCUCUGGACUAUUGGCCCCUACCAGGUCGGAUUUCCUUCAAGAUCUUACCUACUACAAAUUACCAUUAGGUCCAGGAUUCCCUGGAAGAAGAGAUACUGUGUCUCAAUGGGAUCUGCCUUGCUAGAUAAAGGAUAAAUAAAGUGAAUAAAAUUAACAUUUGUCUUCAUCUAUUCUGCUUUGGACCCUUCUGGAGGGCCUCUGUUUCUCAACACACGCCUGCGUCACCACGGAUACCGCAUAAACAGCCACCGAAGUUGAUCAAUCGGAAAUGGGGGGGGUUUCUGACUUCCUGUUUUCGCAGAAAAGGGGUUGAGGUUAG
ensembl:lncRNA